UGCUAUCUACCAAAACUCAAAAUUCAGUAGUGCUAUUAUUUCGGCUUUUGACUUGAUUUACUAAGCCUUUGCAAUCACUCUCAAAAAUCACUACCGAGAAUGGUAAUUGUUCCACCCACUUCAUAGCUUUAAACAUGGCUAAAGUCUCUUUUUCUUGUACCUCCAUUACAACAUCAAUCCACCCUGUACAAAAUUGCCUUCUCCAUCUCGAAGCACACAACCAAAACCUGAUUUGCCACUAUCAUUAAAGAAUGCAACAUCAGUAUUGCAUUUCAACUUGCCUUGAGGUGGUUUCUGCCAAUCUAAAUCAGUAGGGGGGAACUAGGCAAUUGUACCUGGUAUUUUCUGCACUGAAGCUCUUCAAACACUUAAACACCAUCUCUGAAAACGAUUCUACAUUAUUCAGCAAUGGCUCAAUCCAAGACCAUAAUCCAAUCUUUUCCCACAUAACAAUACUAUUAUGACAAGUAAUGAAAUAAUGAAAAGAAUUCUCCAAUUCAAUGCUAUAGAAAAGGCAAAUUGCUGGACAAUGAAUACCUCUCGUUUGGAGUUGAAUCCGUGUAGGGAGACAUUCUCUGCAUACGCGCCAGAUAAGAGAGUCUUGACCUUAUGAGGAACUUCCAAC
rnacentral:lncRNA from 1 species